UUUAAAAGGGUGCUUAGAGUUGUUUGUCUGAUCAUGCAGCACUGUAAGAUAGGGGCCAAGAUAGAGAUCUCAUCGUGGAAAGCUCUGCCAAAACCUCUACCGUGAUCCAAGUGCAAGGGGAACGUGUUGUUGCCGAAAAUCUUGAACGUCUCGUAAUGGUGUCUGUCCAUGUUUCCCAUAAGGAAGUCUAAGACGGCCAUGUCCAUUAGAUCCAGCAGCCUGCGACCCUCGUGAUAUGGUGGAAUUUCUCCAGCGUCGAACUGUUCUUCCUAAAACAAACAAGAAACGCUACGUCAGUCUAUGAUCUAAGAAUCACACGUACGUCGAGCAAGCCUCAAAAAAGAAACAAAACAGGGUACUUGGUAAUAUCCAAUGAUAUCGUACCAUCAGCCAGAAACAUGGAAUUUCUAAUAUUCAAGAA
rnacentral:misc_RNA from 1 species